AAGCGGAGGAAAAGAAACCAACAGGGAUUGCCUUAGUAGCGGCGAGUGAAGCGGCAAAAGCUCAAAUUUGAAAUCUGGUACUUUCAGUAUCCGAGUUGUAAUUUGAAGAAGGUAUCUUUGGAUCUGGCUCUUGUCUAUGUUUCUUGGAACAGAACGUCACAGAGGGUGAGAAUCCCGUGCGAUGAGAUGUCCCAGAUCUAUGUAAAGUUCCUUCGAAGAGUCGAGUUGUUUGGGAAUGCAGCUCUAAGUGGGUGGUAAAUUCCAUCUAAAGCUAAAUAUUGGCGAGAGACCGAUAGCGAACAAGUACAGUGAUGGAAAGAUGAAAAGAACUUUGAAAAGAGAGUGAAAAAGUACGUGAAAUUGUUGAAAGGGAAGGGCUUGAGAUCAGACUUGGUAUUUUAUAUGUUACUUCUUCGGGGGUAGCCUCUAUAGUUUAUCGGGCCAGCAUCGGUUUGAACGGUAGGAUAAUGGUAAAGAAAUGUGGCAUUACUUGUAAUGUGUUAUAGUCUUUAUUGAUACUGCCAGUUUAGACCGAGGACUGCGAUUUUUAAUCUAGGAUGUUGGCAUAAUGAUCUUAAGUCGCCCGUCUUGAAC
rnacentral:rRNA from 3 species